rnacentral:rRNA from 1 species
GACGAACGCUGGCGGCGUGCCUAACACAUGCAAGUCGAACGGAACUUGAGCUUCGGCCAAUUGAAUAAGUCUUAGUGGCGGACUGGUGAGUAACGCGUGAGGAACCUGCCUUUCAGAGGGGGACAACAGUUGGAAACGACUGCUAAUACCGCAUGACACAUGAUGGGGGCAUCCCCGACAUGUCAAAGAUUUAUCGCUGAAAGAUGGCCUCGCGUCUGAUUAGCUAGUUGGUGGGGUAACGGCCUACCAAGGCGACGAUCAGUAGCCGGACUGAGAGGUUGACCGGCCACAUUGGGACUGAGAUACGGCCCAGACUCCUACGGGAGGCAGCAGUGGGGAAUAUUGGGCAAUGGACGCAAGUCUGACCCAGCAACGCCGCGUGAAGGAAGAAGGCUUUCGGGUUGUAAACUUCUUUUGUCAGGGAAGAGCAGAAGACGGUACCUGACGAAUAAGCCACGGCUAACUACGUG